rnacentral:rRNA from 1 species
UACGUAAGGGGCAAGCGUUGUCCGGAAUCACUGGGCGUAAAGGGUGCGUAGGCGGGUCUUUAAGUCAGGGGUGAAAUCCUGGAGCUCAACUCCAGAACUGCCUUUGAUACUGAAGAUCUUGAGUUCGGGAGAGGUGAGUGGAACUGCGAGUGUAGAGGUGAAAUUCGUAGAUAUUCGCAAGAACACCAGUGGCGAAGGCGGCUCACUGGCCCGAUACUGACGCUGAGGCACGAAAGCGUGGGGAGCAAACAGG